UUGUUCUUUAUAAUCCUUCAAAUAACUUCUGAUAUCUUAAAAUGUCACAAAAUAAAAGUUCAAGGAAAUUACUUUUUGAAAGUAAUUGAUUUACCAAUCAAAGCAUCUUGUACUUUUCUAGUACACUACCGCCAAAAUUCUUCCAAUUUGUUCCACUAUAAUCAAAGGAAGAUAUAGCAUAAGAUUUGAAUAAAAUCCAAAGUUUUCCCAAAAACUUUCCCAUCGAACAGCUCAACGCAACCCACUUUCCCAGUAACUGCCGUUCGCAUGAGUCAAUUCUCCUACCAUAUGGCAACCCUGGUCGCGGCACAAAUGCUGACUAACAGUCUACCCACACACACACCAGCACACAACACAAUCGCACACAUACACACAGUUUCUCAUUCUCACGAGUGCAAAUGCGAGUCGAGAGUGUAUGUGCGAUGUGCGCUGCUUGUCAGUUGGGAUUUCGUAUAGUGUGUCGGGUCGGUCGUUUUCGUUUAUAUAAAGUUGCCGCCUCUCCGCUCCGUUCGUAUCUGUAUCUCUGAUGUUGGCGCUGGCUGGCUGGCUGACUGACUGGUUGCUUGGCCGCCGCCUGACUCUCGUAGCUGUGGCUGUAUCUUUGUGCCUUGGUGGUGCCGUGCCAGGUACUUUUGGGCCUCGUUUGGUGUGCCGUGUGCGCGCUCUGUGCUAUUUUAUGCGACGCACUGCUUGGCCUGACUGACAGCAGCCAGCCAAAGCAAAAAAUUUUCUGUUGCGGCGGCGUCCGCGUUUGCGUUUUCGCCUUGAAACAUUUUGCUGUUUUCGCCGCUGCCGCUGCCGCAGCCACUGCCGGAGCUUAUCUCUUGGCCCCAAAAAAAAAAAA